rnacentral:rRNA from 1 species
GACGAACGCUGGCGGCGUGCUUAACACAUGCAAGUCGAACGGAAAGGCCCUGCUUUUGUGGGGUGCUCGAGUGGCGAACGGGUGAGUAACACGUGAGUAACCUGCCCUUGACUUUGGGAUAACUUCAGGAAACUGGGGCUAAUACCGGAUAGGAGCUCCUGCUGCAUGGUGGGGGUUGGAAAGUUUCGGCGGUUGGGGAUGGACUCGCGGCUUAUCAGCUUGUUGGUGGGGUAGUGGCUUACCAAGGCUUUGACGGGUAGCCGGCCUGAGGGGGUGACCGGCAAAAUGGGACCGGGGAAAGGGCCAGGACCCCACGGGAGGCAGCAGUGGGGAAUAUUGCACAAUGGGCGGAAGCCUGAUGCAGCAACGCCGCGUGCGGGAUGACGGCCUUCGGGUUGUAAACCGCUUUCGCCUGCGACGAAGCGUGAGUGACGGUAAUGGGUAAAGAAGCACCGGCUAACUACGUG